GGCCUUGCGCUCUUUGAGCGGCCGAUGUCAGAUUAGCUAGUUGGUGAGGUAAAGGCUUACCAAGGCGACGAUCUGUAGCGGGUCUGAGAGGAUGAUCCGCCACACUGGAACUGAGACACGGUCCAGACUCCUACGGGAGGCAGCAGUGGGGAAUUUUGGACAAUGGGGGCAACCCUGAUCCAGCCAUGCCGCGUGAGUGAAGAAGGCCUUCGGGUUGUAAAGCUCUUUCGGCCGGGAAGAAAUCGCAUGGGCCAAUACCCUGUGUGGAUGACGGUACCGGAAUAAGAAGCACCGGCUAACUACGUACCAGCAGCCGCGGUAAUACGUAGGGUGCGAGCGUUAAUCGGAAUUACUGGGCGUAAAGCGUGCGCAGGCGGUUUUGUAAGACAGGCGUGAAAUCCCCGGGCUUAACCUGGGGACUGCGUUUGUGACUGCAAGGCUAGAGUACGGCAGAGGGGGGUGGAAUUCCACGUGUAGCAGUGAAAUGCGUAGAGAUGUGGAGGAACACCAAUGGCGAAGGCAGCCCCCUGGGUCGAUACUGACGCUCAUGCACGAAAGCGUGGGUAGCAAACAGGAUUAGAUACCCUGGUAGUCCACGCCCUAAACUAUGUCAACUAGGUGUUGGGUGGGUAAAACCAUUUAGUACCGUAGCUAACGCGUGAAGUUGACCGCCUGGGGAGUACGGCCGCGAGGUUAAAACUCAAAGGAAUUGACGGGGACCCGCACAAGCGGUGGAUGAUGUGGAUUAAUUCGAUGCAACGCGAAAAACCUUACCUACCCUUGACAUGCCAGGAACUUGCCAGAGAUGGCUUGGUGCCCGAAAGGGAGCCUGGACACAGGUGCUGCAUGGCUGUCGUCAGCUCGUGUCGUGAGAUGUUGGGUUAAGUCCCGCAACGAGCGCAACCCUUGUCGUUAAUUGCCAUCAUUUAGUUGGGCACUUUAACGAGACUGCCGGUGACAAACCGGAGGAAGGUGGGGAUGACGUCAAGUCCUCAUGGCCCUUAUGGGUAGGGCUUCACACGUCAUACAAUGGUCGGUACAAAGGGUUGCCAAGCCGCGAGGCGGAGCCAAUCCCAGAAAGCCGAUCGUAGUCCGGAUUGCAGGCUGCAACUCGCCUGCAUGAAGUCGGAAUCGCUAGUAAUCGUGGAUCAGCAUGUCACGGUGAAUACGUUCCCGGGUCUUGUACACACCGCCCGUCACACCAUGGGAGCGGGUUCCGCCAGAAGUAGGUAGCCUAACCGCAAGGGGGGCGCUUACCACGGCGGGGUUCGUGACUGGGGUGAAGUC
rnacentral:rRNA from 1 species